GAGGGUAUAGCUUAGUGGUAGAGCACAUGCUUAACAUGCACGAGGUCCUGGGUUCAAUCCCCAGUACCUUAU
rfam:Camelus ferus unplaced genomic scaffold scaffold765, whole genome shotgun sequence.